GACGAACGCUGGCGGCGUGCUUAACACAUGCAAGUCGAACGGAAAGGCCCUGCUUUUGUGGGGUGCUCGAGUGGCGAACGGGUGAGUAACACGUGAGUAACCUGCCCUUGACUGUGGGAUAACUUCAGGAAACUGGGGCUAAUACCGGAUAGGAGCUCCUGCUGCAUGGUGGGGGUUGGAAAGUUUCGGCGGUUGGGGAUGGACUCGCGGCUUAUCAGCUUGUUGGUGGGGUAGUGGCUUACCAAGGCUUUGACGGGUAGCCGGCCUGAGAGGGUGACCGGCCACAUUGCGCCUGAGGUACGGCCCAGUAUCCUACGGGAGGCAGCAGUGGGGAAUAUUGCACAGUGGGCGGAAGCCUGAUGCAGCAACGCCGCGUGCGGGAUGACGGCCUUCGGGUUGUAAACCGCUUUCGCCUGUGACGAAGCGUGAGUGACGGUAAUGGGUAAAGAAGCACCGGCUAACUACGUG
rnacentral:rRNA from 1 species